AACGCGAAGAACCUUACCAAGGCUUGACAUAUACGAGAACGCUGCAGAAAUGUAGAACUCUUUGGACACUCGUAAACAGGUGGUGCAUGGUUGUCGUCAGCUCGUGUCGUGAGAUGUUGGGUUAAGUCCCGCAACGAGCGCAACCCUCGUUCUAUGUUGCCAGCACGUAAUGGUGGGAACUCAUGGGAUACUGCCGGGGUCAACUCGGAGGAAGGUGGGGAUGACGUCAAAUCAUCAUGCCCCUUAUGUCUUGGGCUUCACGCAUGCUACAAUGGCCGGUACAAAGGGCUGCAAUACCGUGAGGUGGAGCGAAUCCCAAAAAGCCGGUCCCAGUUCGGAUUGAGGUCUGCAACUCGACCUCAUGAAGUCGGAGUCGCUAGUAAUCGCAGAUCAGCAACGCUGCGGUGAAUACGUUCCCGGGUCUUGUACACACCG
rnacentral:rRNA from 1 species